CACCGCCCGUCACAUCACGAAAGUGGGUUGUACUAGAAGUCGCCAUGCUAACCGCAAGGAAGCCAGCGCCCAAGGUAUGAUUCACGAGUUGGGGUG
rnacentral:rRNA from 1 species